GUGUCCCCUAGAGUUCCCUUGAACACUUCACUGGGGACCUUCUCUAGUUAUAAUGACUUCCUACUGAAGUGUUUGGGGGAACUCCUGGUGCCAU
rfam:Vitis vinifera, whole genome shotgun sequence of line PN40024, unoriented chromosome 1, chr1